rnacentral:rRNA from 6 species
UAGAGAAGAGGAACUACCCAGUUAACCAUUCCGAACCUGGAAGUCAAGCUCUUCAUCGCUGAUAAUACUGCUCUUUUCAAGAGUGGGAAUGUAGGUC